rnacentral:rRNA from 1 species
GUGGGGAAUCUUGCGCAAUGGGCGAAAGCCUGACGCAGCCAUGCCGCGUGAAUGAUGAAGGUCUUAGGAUUGUAAAAUUCUUUCACCGGGGACGAUAAUGACGGUACCCGGAGAAGAAGCCCCGGCUAACUUCGUGCCAGCAGCCGCGGUAAUACGAAGGGGGCUAGCGUUGCUCGGAAUUACUGGGCGUAAAGGGCGCGUAGGCGGACAGUUUAGUCAGAGGUGAAAGCCCAGGGCUCAACCUUGGAAUUGCCUUUGAUACUGGCUAUCUUGAGUAUGGAAGAGGUAUGUGGAACUCAGAGUGUAGAGGUGAAAUUCGUAGAUAUUCGGAAGAACACCAGUGGCGAAGGCGACAUACUGGUCCAUUACUGACGCUGAGGCUCGAAAGCGUGGGGAGCAAACAGGAUUAGAAACCCGAGUAGUCC